GAUGGACUCUCCAUUAGCACCGAAUAGUAUGAAGUCACCUUUAUUCAUACUCCUUAUAUUUUAUAGAUCCUGCAACGAUUUGCAAAGGUGUAAACUACAGGUGAUAUCUAAUAUCCAAGAAUUUGAAGUUGAAGUACUUAAUGAUAAAUUUAUUUGUAUCAUAUACAAACCUUUAGCAACACUUGCUUCCUUGUGCUUCAAAC
rnacentral:lncRNA from 1 species